rnacentral:rRNA from 1 species
UGUGCCAGCAGCAGCGGUAAUACAGAGACCUCAAGCGUUAUCCGGAUUUACUGGGCGUAAAGCGUCUGUAGGGGGUUUAUUAAGUUCCAAGUAAAAUUUCAAGGCUCAACUUUGAAUUCGCUUGGAAAACUAAUAAACUGGAGUCUAGCAGAGGUGCAUGGGACUUGUGGUGUAGGAGUGAAAUCCGUUGAUAUCACAAGGAACACCAAAGGCGAAGGCAUUGCACUGGGCUAGCACUGACCCUGAGAGACGAAAGCGUGGGGAGCAAAACGGAUUAGAUACCCGUGUAGUCCACGCCCUAAACGAUGAAUGCUAAAUGUUCGGGGAUUCGACCCCCUGGGUGUUACAGCUAACGCGUUAAGCAUUCCGCCUGGGAAGUACGGCCGCAAGGCUAAAACUCAAAGGAAUAGACGGGGAUCCGCACAAGCGGUGGAGCGUCUGGUUUAAUUCGACAGUAAGCGUGGUACCUCACCAGGGUUUGACAUCCCUUGACAGCCUUGGAAACAAGGUUUCCUUCGGGCAAGGUGACAGGUGCUGCAUGGUCGUCGUCAGUUCGUGCCGUGAGGUGUUCCGUUAAGUCGGGAAACGAACGAAACCCCUAUUGCAUGUUACAAUUUCUCAUGCAAGACUGCCCGGAUAUACUGGGAGGAAGGUGGGGAUGACGUCAGAUCUGCAUGGUCCUUAUACCCUGGGCGACACAGGCGCUACAAUGGCAGAGACAAAGGGUUGCAAAACCGCGAGGUGAAGCUAAUCCCAAAAACUUUGUCUAAGUUCGGAUUGAAGGCUGCAAUUCGCCUUCAUGAAGCUGGAAUCGCU